rnacentral:rRNA from 1 species
GAUGAACGCUGGCGGCGUGCCUAAUACAUGCAAGUCGAGCGAACAGAUAAGGAGCUUGCUCCUUUGACGUUAGCGGCGGACGGGUGAGUAACACGUGGGUAACCUACCUAUAAGACUGGAAUAACUCCGGGAAACCGGGGCUAAUGCCGGAUAACAUUUAGAACCGCAUGGUUCUAAAGUGAAAGAUGGUUUUGCUAUCACUUAUAGAUGGACCCGCGCCGUAUUAGCUAGUUGGUAAGGUAACGGCUUACCAAGGCAACGAUACGUAGCCGACCUGAGAGGGUGAUCGGCCACACUGGAACUGAGACACGGUCCAGACUCCUACGGGAGGCAGCAGUAGGGAAUCUUCCGCAAUGGGCGAAAGCCUGACGGAGCAACGCCGCGUGAGUGAUGAAGGUCUUCGGAUCGUAAAACUCUGUUAUUAGGGAAGAACAAAUGUGUAAGUAACUGUGCACGUCUUGACGGUACCUAAUCAGAAAGACACGGCUAACUACGUG